rnacentral:rRNA from 1 species
UACGGGGGGGGCAAGCGUUGUCCGGAAUCACUGGGCGUAAAGGGCGCGUAGGCGGCUCGGUAAGUAGGGGGUGAAAUCCUGCGGCUUAACCGCAGGGCUGCCUUCUAAACUGUCGAGCUCGAGCACGGUAGAGGCAGAUGGAAUUCCCGGUGUAGCGGUGGAAUGCGUAGAGAUCGGGAAGAACAUCAGUGGCGAAGGCGGUCUGCUGGGCCGUUGCUGACGCUGAGGCGCGACAGCGUGGGGAGCAAACAGG